rnacentral:tRNA from 1 species
GCUCUCGUAGCUAAGUUGGUUAGAGCACCUGCUUACUCAUCGGAGGUCUUGAGUUUGACUCUCAACAAGAACA